UGAGCCCCUUUCCAUUCCAAGGCCAGCCCGGUCCUGCAGGCUUUAGGCCACAGUCGAAGCCUUUCUUUGGAGUUUCUUAUCUUUUCAGGGGUAGGGUAUAGGGGACCGUAGCACCCGCCGCCGCCAGCGCCGCUGCAGUGAUUCCUCGUCUCCAUCUAGCGAGGCUAUUGUGUAUUGGGCGCUUAAUUAUUUAUUCACCCUGGAGGCCGAGGAUUCCCACUUCCAUGGGGUUUCGGCCCUUGCCUGCGCUUCCCCCAAGCCUCUCCCGAGGCUGCGGAAAGGUGGCGAGGACCGAUCUGAGACCCUUUUUUGCGCUCCAUCCUUGAGGACUCUCCCCGCCGCACUCCCCGCAGGCUCUCCCGGGCGCCGGGG
rnacentral:lncRNA from 1 species